rnacentral:rRNA from 1 species
UACGGAGGGUGCGAGCGUUGUCCGGAUUUAUUGGGUUUAAAGGGUGCGUAGGCGGUUUGAUAAGUCUGGGGUGAAAGCCCGUUGCUCAACAACGGAACUGCCCUGGAUACUGUCAGACUUGAGGACAGACGAGGUUGGCGGAAUAGAAGAUGUAGCGGUGAAAUGCAUAGAUAUCUUCUAGAACCCCGAUUGCGAAGGCAGCUGACUAGACUGUAUCUGACGCUGAGGCACGAAAGCGUGGGGGAGCGAACAGG